rnacentral:rRNA from 1 species
UACGGAGGGUGCAAGCGUUAUCCGGAUUCACUGGGCUUAAAGGGCGCGUAGGUGGGCAAGUAAGUCAGUGGUGAAAUCUCCGGGCUUAACCCGGAAACUGCCAUUGAUACUAUUUGUCUUGAAUACUGUGGAGGUCAGCGGAAUAUGUCAUGUAGCGGUGAAAUGCUUAGAUAUGACAUAGAACACCAAUUGCGAAGGCAGCUGGCUACACAAAUAUUGACACUGAGGCACGAAAGCGUGGGGAUCAAACAGG